rnacentral:rRNA from 1 species
GACGAACGCUGGCGGCGUGCUUAACACAUGCAAGUCGAACGGAAAGGCCCUGCUUUUGUGGGGUGCUCGAGUGGCGAACGGGUGAGUAACACGUGAGUAACCUGCCCUUGACUUUGGGAUAACUUCAGGAAACUGGGGCUAAUACCGGAUAGGAGCUCCUGCUGCAUGGUGGGGGUUGGAAAGUUUCGGCGGUUGGGGAUGGACUCGCGGCUUAUCAGCUUGUUGGUGGGGUAGUGGCUUACCAAGGCUUUGACGGGUAGCCGGCCUGAGAGGGUGACCGGCCACAUUGGGACUGAGAUACGGCCCAGACUCCUACGGGAGGCAGCGGUGGGGAAUAUUGCACAAUGGGCGGAAGCCUGAUGCAGCAACGCCGUGUGCGGGAUGACGGCCUUCGGGUUGUAAACCGCUUUCGCCUGUGACGAAGCGUGAGUGACGGUAAUGGGUAAAGAAGCACCGGCUAACUACGUG